GCUUAAACCAUUACCAUGAAGAAAAAGGUGUAUGAAUAUAUUCAAGAUAUACUUUUUGGGACACAUUGGAUUAUUAUUUAUUAAUAAAAAAAACUCUGAAUAUUGAGCCUCAUCAUUCAGAGAAAAUAUAAUAACAAAAGUUCUUUAUUAAAACAGUUACUGGAUUUCCAUUGUCAUGUUCUCGGCUUUGUCUUGAAUCCAUACUGCAACAAGAAUCCUACAUGCUGCAAAAUUGGUGAGCCACACAAACAAGGUUUUGAGGAACUAACCUCACUAGGAGUUUUGGGGACUGAAAUAUAACCAGUCUAUAUUAUUGACUUGAUUCUUAGUACUCUCUUUUGAAUCUAAUAUAAACAUUAUUAGGAAGAAUUCAUUGUCAGGUUACAGGAUCCAUCAUGUGUAAAAGGUCAACUUCAGAGCUUUGAAGGUCAUCAAUUCCGUGUUUCUCUAUAGCCUUCUCCCGUAAAAAUAAUGUAAAUGCACAUAUAUAUAUGUGUGUCUGUGUGUGUGUAUUAUUUUUUAUGUAAUUUAGUUUUUCCAUUCUUUUUUUCUCUCUAUAUUUGAACACAAUCUUGGGUCUUGUCACAACAUAUCACCACGUAUGCUACAUUAAAAAACAAGGGCAAGGAUUAGCACAAAUACCUGCCAAAAAAUUUUCUCCAUGGUUCGAUACUUGCAACCAAUAAG
rnacentral:misc_RNA from 1 species